AUUGAACGCUGGCGGCAGGCCUAACACAUGCAAGUCGAGCGGAUGAAGGGAGCUUGCUCCUGGAUUCAGCGGCGGACGGGUGAGUAAUGCCUAGGAAUCUGCCUGGUAGUGGGGGAUAACGUCCGGAAACGGGCGCUAAUACCGCAUACGUCCUGAGGGAGAAAGUGGGGGAUCUUCGGACCUCACGCUAUCAGAUGAGCCUAGGUCGGAUUAGCUAGUUGGUGGGGUAAAGGCCUACCAAGGCGACGAUCCGUAACUGGUCUGAGAGGAUGAUCAGUCAGCCUGGAACUGAGAAACGGUCCAGACUCCUACGGGAGGCAGCAGUGGGGAAUAUUGGACAAUGGGCGAAAGCCUGAUCCAGCCAUGCCGCGUGUGUGAAGAAGGUCUUCGGAUUGUAAAGCACUUUAAGUUGGGAGGAAGGACAGUAAGUUAAUGCCUUGCUGUUUUGACGUUACCAACAGAAUAAGCACCGGCUAACUUCGUG
rnacentral:rRNA from 1 species